CAACGCCGCGUGAGUGAAGAAGGUUUUCGGAUCGUAAAACUCUGUUGUUAGAGAAGAACAAGGAUGAGAGUAACUGUUCAUCCCUUGACGGUAUCUAACCAGAAAGCCACGGCUAACUACGUGCCAGCAGCCGCGGUAAUACGUAGGUGGCAAGCGUUGUCCGGAUUUAUUGGGCGUAAAGCGAGCGCAGGCGGUUUCUUAAGUCUGAUGUGAAAGCCCCCGGCUCAACCGGGGAGGGUCAUUGGAAACAGGGAGACUUGAGUGCAGAAGAGGAGAGUGGAAUUCCAUGUGUAGCGGUGAAAUGCGUAGAUAUAUGGAGG
rnacentral:rRNA from 1 species